rnacentral:tRNA from 1 species
GCGGAUGUGGCGAAAUUGGCAGACGCGCCAGACUUAGGAUCUGGUCCCCGAAAGGGGGUGGAGGUUCAAGUCCUCUCAUCCGCACCA